rnacentral:misc_RNA from 1 species
AAAGAGAAGCGUAUUGAGAAGCAUGAUAAUGAAUCUCUGAGUCAGAAACUGGAUAACGGGGAUGCAGUAACUAAGAAAAAAAGUAAGGGCGAGCAGAGUGAAUUGCCACAGAAUGGAACAAGAAUGGUGCUUGAUGGAGUGAGGCAUCCAGUGCCGUAUCACAAAAAAGAGCAAAAGGGAGGCGAUGAAUAUCAGCAGACUUCUGCAAACCAUUUGAAACUUGUACACAAUGUUGUCAAUGGUGCAACUACCAAGCAGCACAAGGUGAAAGAGAAGCGUAUUGAGAAGCAUGAUAAUGAAUCUCUGAGUCAGAAACUGGAUAACGGGGAUGCAGUAACUAAGAAAAAAAGUAAGGGCGAGCAGAGUGAAUUGCCACAGAAUGGAACAAGAAUGGUGCUUGAUGGAGUGAGGCAUCCAGUGCCGUAUCACAAAAAAGAGCAAAAGGGAGGCGAUGAAUAUCAGCAGACUUCUGCAAACCAUUUGAAACUUGUACACAAUGUUGUCAAUGGUGCAACUACCAAGCAGCACAAGGUG